rnacentral:rRNA from 1 species
UACAGAGGGUGCAAGCGUUGCUCGGAUUUACUGGGCGUAAAGCGUACGCAGACGGCUUGGUAGGUCGGAUGUGAAAGCCCCGGGCUCAACCCGGGAAUUGCAUCCGAAACCACCUCGCUCGAGUGUGGGAGAGGGAAGCGGAAUUCCUGGUGUAGAGGUGAAAUUCGUAGAUAUCAGGAGGAACACCGGCGGCGAAGGCGGCUUCCUGGCCCAUUACUGACGUUCAGGUACGAAAGCGUGGGUAGCAAACAGG